GAAACCAGAACAAUAAAAUGUACCUGAAUUUGCUUCUGCACUGAUUUCCUCAGCCCCAGAUGGACUGUGGCCAGCUUAACAGACAAGAACUCUGCCCUCGGUGGGAUUCUUGCUGCAACAAGUAAUUUUUCAAAUCACAUCAUAUCGUUUUUGGGCUGAGCCCAGAUGUGAGCUACAGCUCCAGUGCCAUGCCUGUCUGCCAGCCACCAUGCUCCCCGUUGCUGUGGUCAUGGACUUACCCUCUGAAACGGAAGAACUUCGGCUCCGAGAUCGCCGCUGGCUGGGGCUUCGGGACCUCCUGUGAUCACUCGGAGAGGCCAGGUGGCGUUCUUUCGACUUCAUCUGGCCUGGUGCUGGAAUAUGAAGAACAAGGCUUCUAACAGUUCACUACCUGAAAACUGCAGUAGCUGCUGCUCAGUCGGCUCAUUUUCAGAAGAACUUUACGUAAAACACCAUUGUUGCUGAGGCUCAUUCUGAUAAGUAAAGACCACCUAAUGGCACUUACUUUUGCGAUCACCUUGCGCAAAUUGUAUUUCAAUUUGCCGGCCACAUACCCACUUCCUGUUGAGGUUGUAGAGUGCGUCUUCCGCAUCUCGAACAUCUUCAAACAUAACCAGCUGUUAAGGACACUUUGGACAUCGGAUAGUAAGAAAAAAUAUUUCUAAGAUAUUAUUCACAUGUGAAAUUAAAUUAAAAAGAAAAGCAAAUCCUGGCUCCAAUAUGAAUAAUCAGAAAAGCUUUUAUAUUUUAUUAUGAACAAAAUGCCCUCUUGUGAUUUAGAAACAUGAAUAGAAGAACAGGACCGUAGAUACAAUAUAGCAGUAUAAUUUGAAACAUAAGAAAAAUCCCAAAUUAGCAUUAUAUAAGAUAAACUGUUUAGGACUUACUCCAGGGUUUUCACUGAAAAUAUCAGCUUGCACUGUUAUUCUGAGAGGGAAAGUACUCUGUCAUUAAAAGCCGAGUUACGAGAUUUAGGAGAAAUGACUCACUGUAAACAAAACUGAAAUAAUAAAAGUAAGUAAAAACAAA